rnacentral:rRNA from 1 species
UGCGUAGGUGGUCGGGUAAGUCUGAUGUGAAAUCUCCAAGCUUAACUUGGAAAUGGCAUUGGAUACUAUUCGGCUAGAGGGUUUGAGGGGGGACGUGGAAUACUUGGUGUAGCAGUGAAAUGCGUAGAUAUCAAGUGGAACACCAGUGGCGAAGGCGAGUCCCUGGAAAACUCCUGACACUGAGGCACGAAAGCUAGGGGAGCAAACA